CUACUGUACCAGAAGUCACUGUGCUAACCGUAAGGAGGCAGGUGCCUAAGGUAUGGUCGGUGAUUGGGGUGAAGUCGUAACAAGGUARCCGUAGGUGAACCUGCAGAAGGAUCA
rnacentral:rRNA from 1 species